rnacentral:lncRNA from 1 species
CACCAGGUCUGUAACUGGAUGGGAUCAUGUGGAAGGUGCCUAGAAGACUUCCCUCCCUGGGAGGCAAUAUUUCCUGUGUCAAGAUUCCCACCCCUCCACACCCCGCUCAUUUUUAAAAAAAUUAUCCUUAUUGGGCUGUACCGGGUCUUAGUUGGCGCACGCAGGAUCUUUGAUCUUCACUGAGGCAUGAGGGAUCUUCCAGUUGUGGCUCGUGGGAUCUAGUUCCCUGACCAGGGAUGGAACCCAGGCCUCCUGCAUUGGGAAUGUGGAGUCUGAGCCACUGGACCACCAGGGAAGCCCCAAGCAUUGCUGUUGUCAUUUAGUUAUUAAUUUGUGUCCAACUCUUUGUUAACUCACAGAUUGUAACCCGCCAGGUUCCUCUGUUUGUGGGAUUUCCCAGGCAAGAUAUUGGAGUGUGUUGCCAUUUCUUUCUCCAGGGGAUCUUCUCGAUCCAGGAAUCGAGCCUGCAUCUCCUGCUUUGCAGGCGGAUUCUUUACCACUGAGCCACCAGGGAAGCAUUGUCCUCUUGUAAAAAUACAAGUAUGACCUGUUGAAGAUGGAUGGGAAAUAGUGGGAAGUGGGAUGAAAAUUUGAAUCUCUGAUGUCUUAGUGAAAAAUAUCUGAUAAAAUCAGUGUUUAUUUUUCUGUUGCAGAAGAAGCUGGGGCAGCAGCAUGAAUGUGUUGGAAGAUUGGAGGCCACUGAUGCUGAAAAAAGGAGAAAAGAGGGAGGGAGCUUCCUGCAGACAAGUCACCUUGCUCAUAUCAGCCAGGCCAGCGGCUCCGAGUGUCAGAACUUCCAUUCGCAGCCAGCAAAUGAACAGCCGGGCCCUGCAUGCUAAUGACGUCCAGGCUAUUUUGCACCUUUUCAUCCGCACAUUAUGCUCUUGACUCUGGAGAAGGUGGGAAUUAGGCCGGACCCCGGUGUCAGACUGCCUGACGGCUCGGCUCCGGAAAACUGGUAAUUGAAGCUGAUGAGUGAUGCGAGGGAGGCCUGAAUUUGGAAAUAAACAGUUUCAAGCACUGCA